rnacentral:rRNA from 1 species
UAACACGUAAGGGGCAAGCGUUGUUCGGAAUUAUUGGGCGUAAAGGGCGUGUAGGCGGAUAUAUAAGCCUGGUGUAAAAGGCUUCGGCUCAACCGGAGUUAGGCGCUGGGAACUGUAUGUCUAGAGUACAGGAGGGGGAGUUGGAAUUCCUGGUGUAGGGGUGAAAUCUGUAGAUAUCAGGAAGAACACCGGUGGCGAAGGCGAACUCCUGGCCUGUUACUGACGCUGAGGCGCGAAAGCGUGGGGAGCGAACAGGAUUAGAUACCCUGGUAGUCCACGCUGUAAACGAUGUGCACUGGGUGUUGGUUCUAUGAAGGAUCAGUGCCGUAGCUAACGCGAUAAGUGCACCGCCUGGGGAGUAUGCUCGCAAGGGUG